AGUGAACGCUGGCGGUAGGCCUAACACAUGCAAGUCGAACGGCAGCACAGUAAGAGCUUGCUCUUACGGGUGGCGAGUGGCGGACGGGUGAGGAAUACAUCGGAAUCUACUUUUUCGUGGGGGAUAACGUAGGGAAACUUACGCUAAUACCGCAUACGACCUACGGGUGAAAGCAGGGGAUCUUCGGACCUUGCGCGAUUGAAUGAGCCGAUGUCGGAUUAGCUAGUUGGCGGGGUAAAGGCCCACCAAGGCGACGAUCCGUAGCUGGUCUGAGAGGAGGGUCAGCCACACUGGAACUGAGACACGGUCCAGACUCCUGCGGGAGGCAGCAGUGUGGAAUGUUGGGCAGAGGGCGCAAGCCUGAUCCAGCCGUACCGCGUGGGUGAAGAAGGCCUUCGGGUUGUGAAGCCGUUUUGUUGGGUGAGAAAAGCAGCAGGUUAAUACCCCGCUGUUCUGACGGUACCCGAAGAAUAAGCACCGGCUAACUUCGUG
rnacentral:rRNA from 1 species